AUUGAACGCUGGCGGCAUGCCUUACACAUGCAAGUCGAACGGCAGCACGGGUGCUUGCACCUGGUGGCGAGUGGCGAACGGGUGAGUAACACAUCGGAACGUACCUUAUCGUGGGGGAUAACGCAGCGAAAGCUGUGCUAAUACCGCAUACGCCCUGAGGGGGAAGGCGGGGGAUCGAAAGACCUCGCGCGAUUAGAGCGGCCGAUGCCUGAUUAGCUUGUUGGUGGGGUAAAAGCCCACCAAGGCGACGAUCAGUAGCUGGUCUGAGAGGACGAUCAGCCACACUGGGACUGAGACACGGCCCAGACUCCUACGGGAGGCAGCAGUGGGGAAUUUUGGACAAUGGGGGCAACCCUGAUCCAGCAAUGCCGCGUGAGUGAAGAAGGCCUUCGGGUUGUAAAGCUCUUUUGUCAGGGAAGAAACACCGGCUCUAACACAGUCCGGGAAUGACGGUACCUGAAGAAUAAGCACCGGCUAACUACGUGCCAGCCGCCGCGGUAA
rnacentral:rRNA from 1 species